CCGCCCGUCACACCAUGAAAGUUGGGUUUCACCAGAAGUCGCUGAGCUAACCGCAAGGAAGCAGGCGCCCAAGGUGAGAUCGAUGAUUGGGGUG
rnacentral:rRNA from 1 species